AGUCGAGCGGUAACAGGGGUAGCUUGCUACCCGCUGACGAGCGGCGGACGGGUGAGUAAUGCAUGGGUAUCUGCCCGGUAGUGGGGGAUAACUCGGGGAAACCCGAGCUAAUACCGCAUACGUCCUACGGGGGAAAGCAGGGGAUCUUCGGACCUUGCGCUAUCGGAUGAGCCCAUGUCGGAUUAGCUUGUUGGUGAGGUAAUGGCUCACCAAGGCCGCGAUCCGUAGCUGGUCUGAGAGGAUGAUCAGCCACACCGGGACUGAGACACGGCCCGGACUCCUACGGGAGGCAGCAGUGGGGAAUAUUGGACAAUGGGGGGAACCCUGAUCCAGCCAUGCCGCGUGUGUGAAGAAGGCCUUCGGGUUGUAAAGCACUUUCAGUGGGGAAGAAUGCCUUGUGGUUAAUACCCGCGAGGAAGGACAUCACCCACAGAAGAAGCACCGGCUAACUCCGUGCCAGCAGCCGCGGUAAUACGGAGGGUGCAAGCGUUAAUCGGAAUUACUGGGCGUAAAGGGCGCGUAGGCGGCUUGCCAAGCCGGAUGUGAAAGCCCCGGGCUCAACCCGGGAACGGCAUUCGGAACUGGCAGGCUAGAGUGCAGGAGAGGAAGGUGGAAUUCCCGGUGUAGCGGUGAAAUGCGUAGAGAUCGGGAGGAAUACCAGUGGCGAAGGCGGCCUUCUGGACUGACACUGACGCUGAGGCGCGAAAGCGUGGGUAGCAAACAGGAUUAGAUACCCUGGUAGUCCACGCCGUAAACGAUGUCGACCAGCCGUUGGACCCCUUGAGGGUUUGGUGGCGUAGUUAACGCAAUAAGUCGACCGCCUGGGGGAGUACGGCCGCAAGGCUAAAACUCAAAUGAAUUUGACGGGGGGCCCGCACAAGCCGGUGGAACCAUGUGGUUUUAAUUCGAUGCAACGCCGAAGAACCUUACCUGCUCUUGACAUCCUGCGAAUCUCCCAGAGAAUGGGAGAGUGCCUUC
rnacentral:rRNA from 1 species